AAUGAACGCUGGCGGCGCGCCUAAUACAUGCAAGUCGAGCGAGAAGACGUAGCAAUACGUUUGUAAAGCGGCGAACGGGUGAGGAAUACAUGGGUAACCUACCCUCGAGUGGGGAAUAACUAGCCGAAAGGUUAGCUAAUACCGCGUACGCUCCUUGGACUUCGGUUCAGGGAGGAAAGCGAUACCGUGGGUAUCGCGCUCUUGGUUGGGCUCAUGUCCUAUCAGCUUGUUGGUGAGGUAACGGCUCACCAAGGCUUCGACGGGUAGCUGGUCUGAGAGGACGAUCAGCCACACUGGCACUGCGACACGGGCCAGACUCCGUACGGGAGGCAGCAGUAAGGAAUAUUGCGCAAUGGGCGAAAGCCUGACGCAGCGACGCCGCGUGGGGGAUGAAAGUCUUCGG
rnacentral:rRNA from 1 species